UACGAAGGGGGCUAGCGUUGUUCGGAAUCACUGGGCGUAAAGCGCACGUAGGCGGGUCGUUAAGUCAGGGGUGAAAUCCCGGAGCUCAACUCCGGAACUGCCUUUGAUACUGGCGACCUUGAGGCUGGAAGAGGUUAGUGGAAUUCCCAGUGUAGAGGUGAAAUUCGUAGAUAUUGGGAAGAACACCAGUGGCGAAGGCGGCUAAUUGGUCCAGAUCUGACGCUGAGGUGCGAAAGCGUGGGGAGCAAACAGG
rnacentral:rRNA from 1 species